AGCGAACGCUGGCGGCAGGCUUAACACAUGCAAGUCGAGCGCCCCGCAAGGGGAGUGGCAGACGGGUGAGUAACGCGUGGGAAUCUAACCAGUUCUACGGAAUAACCCAGGGAAACUUGGACUAAUACCGUAUACGCCCUACGGGGGAAAGAUUUAUCGGAAUUGGAUGAGCCCGCGUUGGAUUAGCUAGUUGGUGGGGUAAUGGCCUACCAAGGCGACGAUCCAUAGCUGGUCUGAGAGGAUGAUCAGCCACACUGGGACUGAGAAACGGCCCAGACUCCUACGGGAGGCAGCAGUGGGGAAUAUUGGACAAUGGGCGAAAGCCUGAUCCAGCCAUGCCGCGUGAGUGAUGAAGGCCUUAGGGUUGUAAAGCUCUUUCAGUGGGGACGAUAAUGACGGUACCCACAGAAGAAGCCCCGGCUAACUUCGUGCCAGCCGCCGCAGUAAUAC
rnacentral:rRNA from 1 species